CCUACGGGAGGCAGCAGUGAGGAAUAUUGGUCAAUGGCCGGAAGGCUGAACCAGCCAAGCCGCGUGAGGGAGGAAGGCGCAGAGCGUCGCAGACCUCUUUUGCCGGGGGACAAAAGGCCGGACUCGUCCGGUCCUGAGGGUACCCGGAGAAAAAGCAUCGGCUAACUCCGUGCCAGCAGCCGCGGUAAUACGUAGGGAGCAAGCGUUGUCCGGAAUUACUGGGCGUAAAGGGCGCGUAGGUGGGCGCUUAAGUCAGGUGUGAAAACUCCGGGCUCAACCUGGGGACUGCAGUUGAAACUGGGUGUCUUGAGGGCAGGAGAGGAAAGUGGAAUUCCUAGUGUAGCGGUGAAAUGCGUAGAUAUUAGGAGGAACACCAGUGGCGAAGGCGGCUUUCUGGACUGUACCUGACGCUGAGGCGCGAAAGCGUGGGUAGCGAACGGGAUUAGAUACCCUGGUAGUC
rnacentral:rRNA from 1 species